AAGCGGCAGAAAAUGGAUGGAUGGAUGGGAAGCCUUGUCUUCCUAAACGCUUGUUUGAUUGUUAUGUGAAAUUGAGUGAUGGGUUGGACCAUGUGUCAAAGGGAGGGAUGUGUCGAGCAGUACAGCAAUUCUGGUUUACUAAGGGCUUUUACGCUUUCACAGAACAUCUCUGUAAAAGUUGUUUGAUUUGUGCUCAAAAUAAUCCAGGUAAACUUAGACCAUUACCACAAGCAGCACACCCACCGCCUAGUAGGGCUUUUGAGCAUGUCAUGAUGGAUUUCAUUGAACUUACACCCAGUGAAGGGAAAAAAUAUUGUCUAGUGAUGUGUAAAUGGUCCUUAGUGUGUGAAUGUGAGUAUGAAUGUUGUCUGUGCAUCUGUGUCGGCCCUGCGAUGAGGUGGCGACUUGUCCAGGGUGUACCCCGCCUUCCGCCUGAUUGUAGCUGAGAUAGGCGCCAGCGCCCCCCGCGACCCAAAAAGGGAAUAAGCGGUAGAAAAUGGAUGGGUGGAUGGAUGGUUGAUAUGUUUUCAGAAUGGGUAGAAGCCUUCCAAGCGAAACAUUCUUCUUCCGCUGCAGUGGCAAAAGCACUUUUAACUGAAAUUGUGGCAAAGUGGGGCAUUCCGAAGAAGUUAUGGAGUGACAAUGGUUCACAUUUUGUAAAUGAGGUGAUACAGCAAUUGUCUGAUUAUUUGCAAAUUGAUUUGAGAACUCAUUGCAGCUACCAUCACAAUCCGGAGGUGCUGUUGAAAGAGGAAACGGAACAAUUCAAUUAAAACUUGCCAAAUGUUGUGAAGAGACUAAGCUCAGCUGGCCUAAAUGUUUGCGGAUAGUUGUCAUGUACAUGCGUAUGCAGGUGUGCACGCGUCAUAACCUGUCACCUUUUGAGAUUCUGUUUGCAGUCCCCCCUAAUGUGGGGAUAGGACCAUCAGGACCGCCAAUUGAGACGACGCUCUGUGAACACGGACUGCUUCCGGGGCGAGCGGAUCAUCCUCUACCCACCAUUGUGCCGGGCGACUUCGUGCUUAUCAAGAACUUCAGACGGAAGAGCUGGAAACAAUGAGGCUGGCUCGGCCCGUUCCAAGUUCUCCUCGUCACCCACACUGCAGUGAAAGUGGAAGAACGGCCGACGUGGGUCCACGCUUCGCAAUGCAAGGCGAUUUCGGGCCCUGUAGCGGUGGCCGCAGAGGAGUGAGGAGCUGUAAAAUCGCUUUUGGCUCCUACGGCAGGAUCCGCGGCUGCAGAGACGAGGGUUACACACACCUCCCUCGCAUCACAUCUUUAGAGAAACACUACUAGUUUGCAGACACAGGUGAAGGCGCUGAGGGCCAAAAUCACCAGGACAAAUGUGUAGCGGACUCACAUAAUGUCUCAAACUGCUAUGUCUGUACAUAUAUGCCUAUAGCGGCGUCCAAUCCACAUGUCACACCUAAGCCUGUAAUGGAGGGUUAUAGAUAUUUUCCCAGGAUGUGUUAUACCUUUUUGCAGCAAAUCUGAAUGAUACGGUUAAAGCGCAUACGGGGACAUCUUUGUCUUCGCUUGAAGAUCCGAAGUUAGAUUUUUAUGAUCGGUGGUCCGAUAAUGAUACGAAUGUGCUUUUUGGUCCAGUUUAUAUUAGGCCGGGUAUGAAAUGUGCGUGUUAUGCGGUAUCUUGGAGCCUUAGAGAGCCGCCAGUGCAGAUGGGACAAAUUCCACUGAUGUAUUGUUUAAAUGUGACUAGUUCAUGCACUACAUAUCACGGUAACACUAGUUUGAACAUUUCACAGGCUGCGCAAGGAGGGGGCUGUUCUCCCUAUUUUACAGAUCAAACUGGCACGCGGCCUCAGGAGGAUGUUCUGUGGCUUUGUGGCUUUAACGUUUAUGUUAGAUUGCCAUAGAAUUGGAUGGGCCGUUGUGCUAUGAUAACAGCUGCUGACCACUCUUACAUUGUGUCAGCUGUUCCGAGUCAUAGGGGUAAGCGUGAGUAUGCACCCCAUGAUGCGAUUUGGGGUACAAAUGUGCCUGCAGAUCUUGAACUUUGGACACCAGGAGAAAAGGUGGCAUUGUCAUUGUUUCCACAGCUGGGCGUGGGGAAACUCAUGCUUAGAAUGGAGACGCUGAAUCAUCGGUUUUCAGGUUUUGUAAAUUGGACAGUAACUAUUACGGAGGCGAGCAGAGUGGAAAUGAAGGCGUUACGGGCAGUGACUUUGCAAAAUCGUAUAGUAUUAGACCAUUUGGUAGCGAGCGUCGGAGGAGUUUGUGCUAUGCUGAAUUCAUGGUGCUGUACGUACAUUCCAGACAAUACUGGAGAUGAUUCCGUCAUUUCGCAGGGUAUUCAGAAUUUGACUUCUCUGCGAGACGCAAUAGGAGAAGAUUUUGUGGUGGAUCCGUCCUGAGUAGCAACUUGGCGUUCGUGGGUAAUGCAAAUUGGGACGAUUAUGCUAGUGGUCUUAGCUCUAUUGUUUGUCUUGUCAGUUUGUGUGAUUCCGCUGAUAAGAUCACUAAUUACGUGUAUGAUUUCGUCUACGUUCGUUCAGUACACAGCCUUGGGACAAGGUGAGGUAGAUUUCAAGGAUGAAAAUGAAGAUCCGUUCUUUGAGAUGUUACUUGAUUAUAAUGUUGAUUAGGUUGAGUAUUUGUGUGGCGUUUUGUAAUUUUAUUUUUAAUCAUGUUAUUACUUUCUAAGGGUUAUUUGGUGUGUGUUUUUUUCGCUAGUUAGUAAUGUUGUUGUUUGUAGUUUAUUAUAGGUAAUAAAAGGGAGGAUUGUGAUAGCAAAAUUACUUGUACUCGUUUUAAUUGAUGAUGUUCUUUAAACGGGUCGCCAAAAGUUGUUUAUUAGGCUUAGGAAUGUGACGUUCUGCAGGAGACCUCUGAUCUGAUCAAGCUCUGUCUUCUGUGUCAUCCUUCUGGACAAACCACACCCUCUCCCCUUCACAGGACCUUGGGCAUUCUUUUACUGGGAUACUGUAUGUAAAUGAGCAUGGAGGGUGGGACUUCUGAGAAUAUAAUAUUGUCAUGACAUAUUCUAAAAGAGUUAGAACAAGCUGGAACGAACGGAUGUGUCGUUCUGGUUUGGUCUCGCUUUGCAAAGCUUGUUAUUAUUUGUUUGUUACUCUAAUAAAUCAUUUUAAAGCUA